rnacentral:misc_RNA from 1 species
GAUGAAGAACGUAGCGAAAUGCGAUAAGUAAUGUGAAUUGCAGAAUUCAGUGAAUCAUCGAAUCUUUGAACGCACAUUGCGCCCGCCAGUAUUCUGGCGGGCAUGCCUGUUCGAGCGUCAUUACAACCCUCAGGCCCCCGGGCCUGGCGUUGGGGAUCGGCGGAGCCCCCCGUGGGCACACGCCGUCCCCCAAAUGCAGUGGCGGUCCCGCCGCAGCUUCCAUCGCGUAGUAGCUAACACCUCGCGCCUGGAGAGCGGCGCGGCCACGCCGUAAAACACCCACCUCUUCUGAAGUUGACCUCGAAUCAGGUAGGAAUACCCGCUGAACUUAAGCAUAUCAAUAAGCGGAUGA